GUGCUGGCGUGGGCAGCACAGACACUAAAACUGGGAUGAUACCAAGAGGAUUGCAUGGCCCCUGCGCAAGGGUGACACAUGAAUUUGUGAAGCAUUCCGUAUUUUU